rnacentral:rRNA from 1 species
AUGUCUUCCACAAGAAAAGUGAGAAAUGUAAACAAGCGCUAUGCCAAAAUUAAUGAAGAUUGGCCGGAAAAGGAUGCAACAGUUGUACAUAAAAAUAAAGUGCGAAAGAAGAAACUAUCCGACCUUGGUUCUCAGUGGAGCAAAGAUGAGUUGGAGCGCUUCUAUGCAGCUUAUAGAAAAUAUGGAAAAGAUUGGAGGAAGGUGGCUGGUGCCGUCCAUGAUAGAACAUCUGAUAUGGUGGAGGCUCUUUACAACAUGAAUAGGGCAUAUUUGUCUCUUCCAGAGGGAACUGCUACUGCUGCAGGGUUGAUAGCGAUGAUGACUGAUCAUUAUAAUAUUCUGGAUGGGAGUAACAGUGACCAUGAGAGUAACGGUUCACCAAAAACUUCUAGGAAGCCACAGAAGCGUGGCCGUGCAAAGCUUCAGUCUGUGUCGAAGGCAUCUGAUACACGUUACCCUGAUCUAUUGCAAUCUCAGCCUGCUUCAUCGAGCUAUGGAUGCCUUUCUUUGUUGAAGAAGAAACGUUCUGGAGACUUGUUUGUAGGUAACAAGCCCCGUGCUGUUGGAAAAAGGACUCCACGAGUGCCUGUUGCAAGCAUGUACCAGCGAGAUGACAAGAUAGGUGCAUCAAAUAGACAAGCAAAACCAGAUGCUAAUAAUGGUGAUGAUGAAGGUGCUCUAGCUGCUUUAGCUCUGGCAGAGGUCUGUCAAAGAGGCUCACCUCAGGUUUCUCAAACAUCUGGAAGAUCCAGUGGUCAAAUGUUCCUGUCUCCUGGUAAAAGUAUCGACAGAAAAAAUGCAGAUUCAGAGAUGGGGAGUUCAAAGAUGCAUGGAUUUCAAGUAGAGGCUGAUUAUCCGGAAGGUAGCUUAGGAAGCAGGGAAGCAGAGACUGGUGACUAUCCCAAAGAUGCUUCCUAUUUUCUGAAUAACGAAGGUUCUGUGUCUGGCAAGUCUAAGCCAAAAGUUAAGAGGUCACAAAAGAGAAGAAAGAAAGCUGCACACAAACCAGAAAAUCAAUUCGAGGAUGACAGAGAGGCUUGCAGUGGCACCGAAGAAGGGUGUAGUUCCAGAAAGGCCAAGGAUAUAUCAGAUUUGGAUGUAUUUGGAAGUAAAGGUUCAUGGCCAUCUAACAAAUCAAACAAAAGAAGCCGCCAACUAUUUUUUGGUGAUGAAUUGUCAGCUCUCGACGCGUUACAUACAUUAGCUGAUAUCUCUGUGAAUAUUCUACAACCUUCUUCUAUCGCUGAAUCUGAAUCAUCGGCACAGUUCAAGGAUGGAAGCAAAGACAAUGAAUCUGAUGAUAAGCCUAGUGUGCCUGCAGCAGUAUCAUUAUUUGACAAAAAAGAUAAGCCCAGAAAAACAAAAAAGAUCAAAAGGCAGUCAGAAAUUGCAGGCAACGAGGUGGUUACUAGGAAAAAAGCUAGACUUUCUAAAGAUCACCAUCAUGACGGGAGUACUUCUGAAGUAAAGCAGGAUGAUUGUAAAUGUGGUGUUAAAAUGGAGAAAAAGAAAAGAAAGUCUUCCAUAUUGAAGAUCUCCAAAGAUGAGAAGAAUACACUAAAAGAUAGUGAGAAGACCGAGGCUUCUGCUGAAGAAGGGAAGGUAUCUUCUAAUAAAGGUAGGCAUACUCAUGUUAGUCCAGUUUCAAAACAAAACAAGUCCAAAGCACAGGAAAGUUCUCCAGCACAUGCUGAUUUUGGAAAAGAAGCCAUGGAUACGGUGGACACGACAGAAAAUGCAAUAACUCAGCAAUCGGACUCGGCAUCAAAGUCUAAAAGCCGGCGCAAGUUAGGCAUUUUGAAAGCACUUGCUCCAGAGAGCAAGCCUGCUGAGGGCGCUGAUGAUUCGUGCGAUAAUGUUUCCUACCCAGUGAAUAACGUUACGGAACUCAAGGACAAGCUCUCUCACUGCUUAUCUUCACGUUUCCUCCGGAGAUGGUGCAUGUCUGAGUGGUUCUAUAGUGCAAUUGAUUAUCCAUGGUUUGCGAAGAGUGAAUUCGUGGAGUACUUGAAUCAUGUAAAGCUGGGUCAUGUACCAAGGCUGACUCGUGUCGAGUGGGGUGUUAUAAGGAGUUCUCUUGGAAAGCCACGUCGAUUGUCAAAGCAGUUUUUACAAGAGGAGAGGGAAAAGCUUUCUCAGUAUCGCGAGUCAGUCAGACAACACUAUGCUGAACUUCAGUCUGGUGUUCGAGAAGGUCUACCAACUGAUCUUGCUCGGCCCUUAGCAGUUGGGCAGCGCGUUAUAGCCUGUCAUCCCAAAACAAGAGAACUUCAUGAUGGGAGUGUUUUGACUGUCGACCGUAAUCGCUGUCGGGUUCAAUUUGAUCGUCCGGAGCUGGGUGUUGAGUUUGUGAUGGAUAUUGAUUGUAUGCCGUUACACCCACUGGAAAAUUUCCCUGAGUCUCUCAGACGCCAAAAUAUCGUGAAUAAAUAUUACAGCAGCUUCUCAGAAGUAAAGUUCGAGGAUCGGUCCAAAGAGUAUGGUGGUGGAGGUGCACCAAGAUUCAUACCAAAUGGGGAUGCAUUUGAUUCGAUGGCACAGGCCAAAACCACAGCAAACGAGGCUACAGUCGCUGCACAGCAGGCAAUGUACGGCCAGCCAUGUACACUGUCACAGAUUCAGGAAAGGGAAGCAGAUAUAAGGGCUCUUGCUGAACUAUCGCGUGCUCUUGAUAAGAAGGAAGCCUUGCUGGUAGAGUUGAGGCACAUGAACGAAGAAGUGUCUGGAAAGCAAAAGGAUGGGGAAAUUAUUAGAGAUUUGGAGCACUUCAGGAAGCAAUACGCCAUGGUUCUUGUACAGCUGAGAGAUUCGAAUGAUCAUGUGGCUUCAGCCCUGCUUUGUCUGCGGCAACGGAACACAUUUCAUGGGCAGCCAACGCAGUCAUAUCCUAAUAAAUCCACGGAAAAUGGUGGAGCUUUUAACAGAACACCAGACCCAUCUAGUAACCUUUUUGGUUAUAUUAAUCAGGAGUCUGGAUCCCAAGUGAUGGAGAUUAUUGAGACUUCAAGGUCCAAAGCUAAAACGAUGGUUGAUGUCGCUGUUCAGGCAAUGUGCAAAGUAAGUGAAGGAGAGAACGCUUUUGCCAAGAUAGGGGAAGCACUGGACAAUCUGAACCUCCGUGGCACCGGCUCUGGUUCGAGCAUACUAGGCAUAAGGCGGAUACCACCCGAUUCCGGGCAGGCGAAUUCAGAUAACAGCGCCUCGGGCCGCUUCGACCCUGCUGCAGCAACUAAUAACAUUUCCAGUCCAAGAGUAUUGCCCAACGGCAGCGACUCCGAAGCCCAGUUCCCGUCGGAGCUGAUUUCGUCCUGUGUAGCGACCAUCCUGAUGAUACAGAAUUGCACGGAGAAGCAGUAUCACCCUGCGGAAGUGGCGCACAUUCUCGACUCGGCGCUGUCGCGGCUGCAACCGUGCAGCUCGCAGAACGUCCCCAUCUUCAGGGAGAUUGAGAUGUGCAUGGGUAUCAUCAAGAACCAGAUGCUGGCGCUGAUACCCACCCCUAGUGGCUAG